UCCUCCCUCUGGCGGCAUGCCUAACACAUGCAAGUCGAACGAGACCUUCGGGUCUAGUGGCGCACGGGUGCGUAACGCGUGGGAACCUGCCCUUAGGUUCGGAAUAACUCCCCGAAAGGGGUGCUAAUACCGGAUAAUGUCUUCGGACCAAAGAUUUAUCGCCUUUGGAUGGGCCCGCGUUGGAUUAGCUAGUUGGUAGGGUAAAAGCCUACCAAGGCGACGAUCCAUAGCUGGUCUGAGAGGAUGAUCAGCCACACUGGGACUGAGACACGGCCCAGACUCCUACGGGAGGCAGCAGUGGGGAAUAUUGGACAAUGGGCGAAAGCCUGAUCCAGCAAUGCCGCGUGAGUGAUGAAGGCCUUAGGGUUGUAAAGCUCUUUUACCCGGGAUGAUAAUGACAGUACCGGGAGAAUAAGCUCCGGCUAACUCCGUG
rnacentral:rRNA from 1 species